rnacentral:lncRNA from 1 species
GAUAACAGACCUGGCCAAAGGAUCAUAGUGAAACUGUCAAACUGGAUGUCUUGACAGUUGUUCAUGUAGGCUGAUACUGGAGUAGAGACUGGUUAGUCUUUUACAGUAUAGCAAAGUCAGCACAGUCUGGUUUCAAGAACAUAACUGAAUCAGCAUGAGGAAUAUGUUCUGGAUGUCAACCUGAAUGUCGUAACAUUCACACCUGACUGCUUGGGCUAAAUUGUAGGAUAAUUAGUUUUU